CGAACGCUGGCGGCGUGCUUACCACAUGCAAGUCGAACGGCAAGGCCCUGCUUGCAGGGUACUCGAGUGGCGAACGGGUGAGUAACACGUGGGUGAUCUGCCCUGCACUUCGGGAUAAGCUUGGGAAACUGGGUCUAAUACCGGAUAGGAGCCAUCUUUAGUGUGGUGGUUGGAAAGUUUUUUCGGUGUAGGAUGAGCUCGCGGCCUAUCAGCUUGUUGGUGGGGUAAUGGCCUACCAAGGCGGCGACGGGUAGCCGGCCUGAGAGGGUGUACGGCCACAUUGGGACUGAGAUACGGCCCAGACUCCUACGGGAGGCAGCAGUGGGGAAUAUUGCACAAUGGGCGCAAGCCUGAUGCAGCGACGCCGCGUGGGGGAUGAAGGCCUUCGGGUUGUAAACUCCUUUCGCUAGGGACGAAGCUUUUUUGUGACGGUACCUAGAUAAGAAGCACCGGCUAACUACGUG
rnacentral:rRNA from 1 species